AUAGUGCCACUAGAUCGUUGGUGUUUAGGCCGACCGCGGAGAAUUUGGAAGUGAUGUUUGUUAAGCCUUCGGUAGGAGAUGGAAUGGAAGUGUUGGCUCCUCCCUGGUUAGCGGUUAAGCUGUCUCUUCUUCCUAGUUGAUAAUAUUCUGAGAUGCUAUGAGCAAUCAAUCAAAGUUCAUUUCUUGAGCUUUUUAUUUGAUCGAACUAUAACAAAGUAAGAUUUGUUUCAAACCAACAAUCACCCCAUGACGAUUUUGCAAAUUGAACAAAAAUUCUAUUUACUGCUGGUUAUUUUUACUUACCAAAGAUACAGAAGCUUCAGCUGCGAGGGCAAGAAUGUCGGCACAAGAUACAACACCGGAGCACGAAUUCUCCACAGCAGUCUUGAUGUUGUCAACAACGUCGAAACCCCUUGUGGAGUUGGUGUUAGGGCCCGCAUCUUUUUCGCUCUGUAUGCUGGCGCUGUUGUCUAACAGUAAUGAAGCAUCACAUCCCUAACAUAAUCAACAAAUUAAGGCUCGCUCAACAACAAAACUUGAAACAAAAUAGAGAGCUAUAUCAAAGGUUAAGGAAAGGUAUAUAAGUUUACAUUGACAAAGCAGUCAUGAAAAUGAAGGCGAAUGAGGCUUGCGCCAAUCCGCGAGUCAGAAUUCAUAGCUUGUUGAACUGCAUUUCUCACUAUGCUUGAGGCGUUGGGGCAAGUAGAGGAGUAAAAUGUACUGUUUAGUUGAGCAUUAGAUUCAUAUAGAGUCGUUGCUACAAUACUAAAUCCCAAUAGUAUGGAAUAGUAGUAUGAAGAAGCAGAAGAAGAAGAGGGGGAGGAGAAAGAAAACAUUAUGGUUUCUUAAUUUCUUGCUUAUAAUUAUUCUCGAUUACCUUAGCUUUCUAUAUAUAAGCUUAAUUAUGUGUCAGUAUUGGUUAUCACCUCAAGCCAAUAUAUAGGGAAACAUCACGUCGUUCUUCCUGGUCGACGAAGUCUUUUGCUUUUGGCAAUUAAAAGUGAAUAUUAUAUAACACAAUACGUAAAGUAUAUAUGAGAUUCCGCAGGAAGAUUCUUCAUUGCCUUUUUUUCACGCGGUUGUAGAAAAAUGGCAUUUUGUUAUUAGGUAUUAGGUUUACAACUUUGCAAGUUUUCGAGAAAAGUCAAUUUAAAACGCUGGUCAAAUUAUUAUUUAUAUAUAUAAUAUAUUUAUUUUGAACUUA